GACGAACGCUGGCGGCGUGCUUAACACAUGCAAGUCGAGCGGAAAGGCCCUUUCGGGGGUACUCGAGCGGCGAACGGGUGAGUAACACGUGAGUAAUCUGCCUCUGGCUUCGGGAUAGCCACCGGAAACGGUGAUUAAUACCGGAUACGACACAUCACUGCAUGGUGGGUGUGUGGAAAGUUUUUUCGGCCAGGGACGUGCUCGCGGCCUAUCAGCUUGUUGGUGGGGUAAUGGCCUACCAAGGCUUCGACGGGUAGCCGGCCUGAGAGGGUGACCGGCCACACUGGGACUGAGACACGGCCCAGACUCCUACGGGAGGCAGCAGUGGGGAAUAUUGGACAAUGGGCGGAAGCCUGAUCCAGCAACGCCGCGUGAGGGAUGACGGCCUUCGGGUUGUAAACCUCUUUCAGCACAGACGAAGCGCAAGUGACGGUAUGUGCAGAAGAAGGACCGGCCAACUACGUGCCAGCCGCCGCAGUAAGAC
rnacentral:rRNA from 1 species